rnacentral:lncRNA from 1 species
CUCCAAGCAGCUCCCUCUGGUCGAUGGAAAGACAGACUGCAACUCCCAUGCAUGGCCUCUGCCAUCGCAUUAUAGGGUUUGCACCGAUUCUGUUCUCCUUAGCUUCCUUGGUAGCAACGUUCGCUUACUCGACCUUGUCCUCUGACAUGCCGGGCUCCCUUAAGCGAAUAUGAGCUCUGGAGUAGUCCAACUCUCCAGCUGCUUUGAUCAUACCUCUGCAUGAUCAAGU